GGAUAUGAGGGCGGUCUGGCUGUGACAUCUGUCGCCCCAUUGGUCGCCAGGGUUGAUGCAGCUGAUCUGGCUGGCUUGGCCAGUAUCUUCCUCCUUCUUCACCACUCCAUGUAUGUCCCUCCAGACACACCGAACAGAGGAGACCCGGUCUUGGGUCAAGUGUAUUGGAGUAGCUGUGCCCCCCACUAGAACGGCUAAACAAACUCUUUUUUUUUUCUUUUCUAGACAGGGUUUCUCUGUGUAGUUUUGGUGCCCAUCCUGGAUCUCACUCUGUAGACCAAGCUGGCCUGGAAUUCACAGAGAUCCGCCUGGCU
rnacentral:snRNA from 1 species